rnacentral:rRNA from 1 species
UACGUAGGGACCGAGCGUUGUCCGGAAUCAUUGGGCGUAAAGAGCGUGUAGGCGGCCACUUAAGUCCUGCGUGAAAUCUUGCGGCUCAACCGCAAGCGGUCGUGGGAAACUGGGUGGCUAGAGUGCGGGAGAGGAGAGUGGAAUUCCUGGUGUAGCGGUGAAAUGCGUAGAUAUCAGGAGGAACACCUGUGGCGAAAGCGGCUCACUGGACCAUAACUGACGCUGAUGCACGAAAGCUAGGGGAGCAAACAGG